CCUACGGGAGGCAGCAGUAGGGAAUAUUGCUCAAUGGGGGAAACCCUGAAGCAGCAACGCCGCGUGGAGGAUGAAGGUUUUCGGAUUGUAAACUCCUUUUGUUAGAGAAGAUAAUGACGGUAUCUAACGAAUAAGCACUGUCUAACUCCGUGCCAGCAGCCGCGGUAAUACGGGGGGUGCAAGCGUUACUCGGAAUCACUGGGCGUAAGGAGCGCGUAGGCGGGAUAGCAAGUCAGAUGUGAAAUCCUAUGGCUUAACCAUAGAACUGCAUUUGAAACUGUUAUUCUAGAGUAUGGGAGAGGUAGGUGGAAUUCUUGGUGUAGGGGUAAAAUCCGUAGAGAUCAAGAGGAAUACUCAUUGCGAAGGCGACCUGCUAGAACAUAACUGACGCUGAUGCGCGAAAGCGUGGGGAGCAAACAGGAUUAGAUACCCAGUAGUC
rnacentral:rRNA from 1 species